rnacentral:sRNA from 12 species
GCUUUCAACAUCCCCGUUCUGCUCGGGAUUUUUUUAAAUUCCAACCGAAGCAGGACUGAAGGC